rnacentral:rRNA from 1 species
GACGAACGCUGGCGGCGUGCCUAAUACAUGCAAGUUGAGCGCUGAAGGUUGGUACUUGUACCAACUGGAUGAGCAGCGAACGGGUGAGUAACGCGUGGGGAAUCUGCCUUUGAGCGGGGGACAACAUUUGGAAACGAAUGCUAAUACCGCAUAAAAACUUUAAACACAAGUUUUAAGUUUGAAAGAUGCAAUUGCAUCACUCAAAGAUGAUCCCGCGUUGUAUUAGCUAGUUGGUGAGGUAAAGGCUCACCAAGGCGAUGAUACAUAGCCGACCUGAGAGGGUGAUCGGCCACAUUGGGACUGAGACACGGCCCAAACUCCUACGGGAGGCAGCAGUAGGGAAUCUUCGGCAAUGGACGAAAGUCUGACCGAGCAACGCCGCGUGAGUGAAGAAGGGUGUCGGAUCGUAAAACUCUGUUGGUAGAGAAGAACGUUGGAGAGAGUGGAAAGCUCAUCAAGUGACGGUAACUACCCAGAAAGGGACGGCUAACUACGUG